rnacentral:rRNA from 1 species
GUCGACCGCCUGGGGAGUACGGCCGCAAGGUUAAAACUCAAAUGAAUUGACGGGGGCCCGCACAAGCGGUGGAGCAUGUGGUUUAAUUCGAUGCAACGCGAAGAACCUUACCUGGUCUUGACAUCCACGGAAGUUUUCAGAGAUGAGAAUGUGCCUUCGGGAACCGUGAGACAGGUGCUGCAUGGCUGUCGUCAGCUCGUGUUGUGAAAUGUUGGGUUAAGUCCCGCAACGAGCGCAACCCUUAUCCUUUGUUGCCAGCGGUCCGGCCGGGAACUCAAAGGAGACUGCCAGUGAUAAACUGGAGGAAGGUGGGGAUGACGUCAAGUCAUCAUGGCCCUUACGACCAGGGCUACACACGUGCUACAAUGGCGCAUACAAAGAGAAGCGACCUCGCGAGAGCAAGCGGACCUCAUAAAGUGCGU